GUACCCUCCAAACCGUGGCUCCAGGUACCAGGAAGCACACUGGCCCUGGGAGGGGGAGGUACCCGUGCAGCAUAGACCCCUUCCCUGCCUCCCAGCCCCAGGGACCCGGCAGACCACCAUGGUCCUCCCUUCCUCCUUACUGGGGCUUCUGUCUCCAGCAUGUACCCUCAGGACGAUCCCACGCUGAGAUCUCGUCAUCCUGGUUGUACCGACGAGGAAGCCGAGACUCCCAGAGGGAGGUGGUGUGCAGACAGAGUCUCAGCAGAGAUCAAGCCUCUAGACAGACACUUUUAAGGGACUCAGGCAAAGAAAUAAGCAGGGCUGUUUGCCUUUUGUUUCUCUGUUCAUUCCACCUUCUCUGAAUUCUUGCUGCUGGACGUGUGCACCCGGGAACAGUAUCACCUGGGAGCCGGUGAGAGGGGCAGGAUCUCAGGCCCUGCCCAGACCAAGGAACCACCAUCUGUUUUAUACUAUGACUCGUGGGCACUCUGGAGUUUGGAAAGUAUGGAUCGAAAGGAGAGUAGCACUUAGCCAGAAAUAAGAAAUAUGGGGUUAGCUAUAAAGGAGGCCUUCCUGCCUCCUGGGGGAGGGAGGCCACGGCAGAGAUCCUUAACUUCUG
rnacentral:lncRNA from 1 species